UUUAUGACUUCAACGGCCAGCAGCCUGGAGUCUGCAAGGGCCGCUGGCUCCCCCUGCGCGCCCAGGACCGGUAGGCGGAGGGGACCAGCAGGCUGAGGGGAUGCGCCUCCAAAUCGAGGGCGGAUACAUGUUCCCUGUUCUCAACUCACCGCCAAAUAGUGCAAUCGCUCCAGAAGCUUUUGGAAAAAAAUAUCAUUCAGCCUAAAAGGCUAAUUUUAUGCUCUACUCGAAAUGACUGCCAAGUUUUUGAAAAAUGCCAGAGUUAAAAGGCUUUUGUGAAAAGGGUGCUCUGGGAGAAGGAAGGAGAAGUGAAGGAAUGUUCUCACCCAGACACUACCUCACUGUAGUAAGAAAAACAGAAUAAAGUAAAAUGAAAUGAAAGGUUUGCUUUUCACUUUUGAGAAAGAGCAGCCAGCUCAGCACACAAGGAGCCCUUCUGAAAUUUUAAGGACUUCUAAUUAUAACAAAUAAGCCUGGCCUCAGACUAACGUCCAUCGCUGAGAUUAACAACCUCCAGCUGCUUGGAGAAGUUUAGCUCCUCCGUAGACUCCUUCCAGCUCAUGUAGCGAAUCCUUGUUUGUCUACAAUGUUGAAGGAAUGGAGGAUUUCUAGUCUAUUAAUUAAUUCAGACAUUGCCAGAGGAGAUGGAAAUCUGCACGAUGGGCAGGAGCAGACAGGUGGGAGGCUCGGCACGACCAAGGACCUGGAGGUGGGAACGGGCUCUGCUCUGCGUGGCCUGGCCAGCCCCCUACAGUUUGACGCCAUCUUUCCAUUCUUGCAGAAAUAAUUUUACCAAAAGUCAGCAGAGUUAUUGAGCACCUGCCGUGUGGAAGCCUCUGCCAUAUGUUAUGAGAAGUACAAAGAACAGGACCUUUGAUCGAACUGGGGGCACAGCUUAUUUAGCUGGAUUUCUCUUGCUGUUCUGCCUAACGCUCUUCCAUUCACAUGCGCCUUGCUCCUGCACAAACCCACACACCUGCUCUUCUCUCUCUGGAAGCAAGUGGGCCAGUAAAACUACCAAGGUGUGACUCAGAGACUGCCAGAGGUCAUCAUACACUGUGAUCACCUUCAUCGCCGUCACAGCAACCAUCGCAUUUGUGAAGCACUUAGCAAAGAUGAUGAGGAAAUAGGCACUCAGAGAGUCCCCAGUACCUGAGCCUUUCCUAUAGGAACUGAGACGCUGGCUGAGGAUGUGGAGCAGACACUAGAUCAAUCAAAACUGGAGCACAGAGUCUGACUCACAAGACUGGAAGGGAGAUUCCUCGUGUGGGGGCUGGAGGGAGACUUGAGUUCCCUGAGCUCAGCCUUUAUGAACAUAAGGAAUGAACACCACAGGAACACACAACUGUUUGAUGUCAACAACAGGUGUGAGUCUGGCUUGUGGCCCCACCUUGGCUCCGCUCACCUGCUUCGUCCCAGAGCCAGCAGACUCCAACGUCCUGCUAGCAACUCGUGUCCCUGUGAGUAGCUGGCAGGGAUUUCUGCCUGAUUUGAUUCUCCUUGACCACGGCACCUGUGGACUAGACCCAGAUUCUUAUGGGGAGCCAGAAAAGGAUGAGCUUUCUGAAGCAGCCCUGACACAAAACAUUCGACAGUGAAGCAAAUCUGGUCGUUCUGUUUGUUAUGGCAGCUGGGUUUGCGCCAGAAUCUAGAAGACGCACUGUGAAGACAGUUGCAAGUCAUUCAGCCAUAUUUCUUGCUAAAUUGCUGUGCCCUCAAUGGGAUACCGAGUCAGUAUAAGAGCAAGCCUCCAAGUCCUGGGUCCUGUCUGAUACCAUGCCACUAUCCACGAUUAAUGGAAUCUUACUAAUAUGAAGCUUACUUACUAAAACCAUUGAGUAAAAAAUAUUAAAAAGAGGAAAAGAGAAUGAAAGAGAGAGAUCACAAACCCAGUCCCUACUAAAAAGCCAAAGGUCCAGCUCCAUUUCAGGUGUUAAGCUUGGCUUCCUUCCUCUCAUCCUCUGAGUCCUGCCUAGCCACUCUCUGCCCCACACGUUGUUAAUCACCUGUGCUAAAGGAGGCCUAUGGGUCCCUCAACGGUGUUCGUGCUGCUUUCUUUUUUCUUAAUCCUAUUCUCACUUCAACACCUGAAUUCAACCAAUGUGAUGACAGAUGGUGUGGGGCCCUUUGCCCUGCCAAUUUAGCGACCCUGGCGAUGGUUCAGCCUCUGAGUGGCAAGGGAGUGAUUUUGCUCACUUGGUUUAAAAAUACCACAGUGUUUUUAACCUCCGAGAAAAGUGUUUGGCAAACUACCCAUAGCAGAUUUUUCUGUGUAUAUAGAUGAUGUCACAUCUCCAGCCAGUUUUGUCUAAAUAAGGCUUUGCUCAAAAUGAAUGGCUAGCUAUGGCUGCCAUUUAAAUGUAGAAUUGGGAGCCAUAGCUGUGCUGGUCUGGAAAGAGAUUUGGGUAAAAGGCUAAAACUUGGGCCGCUGUCUUGGUUCUUUCCCCAACUUACCAUGGUAGUUGGUCACUUCUCCUCGGAAGGACUCUACUUCCUCAUUUGAAAAUGACAGGUUUAGUCUACAGUCAAUUCAGUUCAACUAUUGGCUGGAUGAUACAGGAUGGGUUCUUGGUCUUGCAAUGGAUUCCAAGAUGAGAAACAACUACAGCCACCCGGAAGGAAUUUAUAAUUUAU
ensembl:lncRNA